GAUGAACGCUAGCGGCAGGCUUAACACAUGCAAGUCGAGGGGCAGCAUAAUGGAUAGCAAUAUCUAUGGUGGCGACCGGCGCACGGGUGCGUAACGCGUAUGCAACCUACCUUUAACAGGGGGAUAACACUGAGAAAUUGGUACUAAUACCCCAUAAUAUCAUAGAAGGCAUCUUUUAUGGUUGAAAAUUCCGAUGGUUAGAGAUGGGCAUGCGUUGUAUUAGGCUAGUUGGUGGGGUAACGGCUCACCAAGGCGACGAUACAUAGGGGGACCUGAGAGGAAGGUCCCCCACAUUGGAACUGAGACACGGUCCAA
rnacentral:rRNA from 1 species